rnacentral:tRNA from 1 species
GUUGGGAUGGCCAAGUUGGUCUAAGGUGGCACAUCAAAGGUGUGUUCCGAAAGGGGGUGGGUUCGAAUCCAACUCUCAACA